GAAUAUAUAGAGAUAUGAAAAGGAACUAGACAAGGUUGCCCGCUGUCACCUCUGUUGUUUGUGUUGACACUGGAAGUACUUAAUAGAAAUAUUAGAGAAGAUAAGGAUAUAAAACGAAUGAAAAUUAAGAGGGAAGAAUAUAAAUUACAAGCUUUCACAGAUGACCUGGCUUUUAUUUUAGAGAAUCCAUUUGAAAUAGCAUUUAAAUUGCUAGAAAAGAUUGAGGAAUAUGGAUAUGUAGCAGGUUUGAAAAUAAAUAAAGAUAAAGCAAAGAUUUUGACGAAGAACAUAGUUGAAAAACGAAAGAAAGAAUUGACGGAGGUUUUGAAGAUCCAGGUCACAAAUAAAGUUAAGUAUCUAGGAAUAUAUUUGACAGCUAGAUGUGGCACACUUAAGAAGAAAACUACUAUAAACUCAAACAACAGAUUGUGACAGACUUGGCAAAAUAGGAAAAAUUGCAUUUAUCUUUAAUAGGGAGAAUAUCCACAAUUAAGAUGAAUAUAUUACCAAGGAUUUUAUAUUUGUUUCAGACAAUUCCAAUUAAAUUAGGGAAAGACCAUUUUGAAGCUUUAAAUAAAAUAGUACUGAAAAACAUUUGGCAGGGAAAGAAGGCGAGAAUUAAACUAAAACUACUACAAGAUGCUAGAAUAAGAGGAGGGUUUGGCUUGCCCAUUUGGGAGUUAUAUUAUCAGGAGACAACAUUGCUGUGGGUCAAGGAAUGGAUAACAUUAAGGAAUACUAGAUUAUUGACGUUAGAAGGACAUGAUCUGUUGUUGGGAUGGCAUGCUUUCUUAUGGUACAAGGAGACUAAAAUGCAUGGAUACUUUAGGAGGCAUUUUAUAUGAGAGGCUCUAUUAUUAAUAUGGGAGAAAAUUAAAAGACAACAGUAUUUGAAAAUUCCAGUCUGGUUAUCAACUAUUGAAGUAUUCGCAUAUCCAGUAAUCUAUAAAAUGGAACAGUUAGAUAUGGCGAAAUAUUGAAUGAAACGGGUGAACUUAAAUCUAUGCAAGAACUAGAGGAACAAGAUAUAAGGAUGAAUUGGUUUUCAUAUGUGCAAAUACAUUCUAGAUAUGAUAAAGACUCCAAAAUGGAAGGUUUUUAUAGUAAAUUAACUGAAUUAGAUAAAAUCUUGACAGGUACUGAUGAAAAGGUGAUUUAAAAAUUAUAUGGAUAUUUACUAGAGGUUAAACUAGAAGAACAAGUUAAAGAAACUAUGAUUGCU